rnacentral:rRNA from 1 species
GACGAACGCUGGCGGCGUGCCUAAUACAUGCAAGUCGAACGCAGUGGGGACGGGUGAGUAACACGUGGGUAACCUCCCCAUCAGAGGGGAGCACCCUUGGAAACAGGUGCUAAACCGAUACUGAUGGAUGGCCCCGCGGUGCAUUAGCUAGGUGGGGAGGUAACGGCUCACCAAGGCCACGAGGCGUAGCCGACCGUAGAGGGUGAUAGGCCACACUGGGAAUGAGACACGGCCCAGACUCCUACGGGAGGCAGCAGUAGGGAAUCUUCGGCAAUGGACGAAAGUCUGACCGAGCAACGCCGCGGGAGUGAAGAAGGUUUUCGGAUCGUAAAACUCUGUUGUUAGAGAAGCGGUAUCUAACCAGAAAGCCACGGCUAACUACGUGCCAGCAGCCGCGGUAAUUC